rnacentral:misc_RNA from 1 species
AGUUCGUCUAGGGUUUAGAGAGAGCCAGGCGUCCGAACAGCGAGAAAAUGGUUAAGUUUCUGAAGCCAAACAAGGCAGUGAUCAUCCUCCAAGGCCGCUAUGCCGGUCGCAAGGCGGUGAUCGUCAAGUCCUUCGAUGACGGCACACGCGACCGCGCCUACGGCCACUGCUUGGUUGCAGGGAUAAAGAAGUACCCAAGCAAGGUUAUCAAAAAGGACUCUGCCAAGAAGACGGCCAAGAAGUCCCGCGUUAAGUGUUUCAUCAAGCUCGUCAACUACCAGCACUUGAUGCCCACCCGCUACACCCUCGACGUCGACCUCAAGGAUGUGGUCACAGUCGACGCAUUGCAGAGCAAGGAGAAGAAGGUUGGGGCUGCGAAGGAGACCAAGGCGAGGUUCGAGGAGAGGUUCAAGACUGGCAAGAAUAGGUGGUUCUUUACCAAGCUCAGGUUUUGAGCUUUAUUAUCAGGGUUAAGUUCGUAGAGUUUUCUUGGUUUUAUUUGCUUAAAUUUUGUUUUGAAGAAAUGGGUAUGUGUGAUUUUGAGACUUGUUAAGUGGUAAUUGUUAAUUUGGAUCUUGUUGCGUUUUGAUCAACUUGUUCAGAUCUGUAGGGACAAGUUAUUUCUGAGCAUAUACAAUCUUCGUAUCUUUUUCCUUUUAUGAGUUCUGUUUGAUUUGGACCCUGUUCUCUUGCUGCAUUUACAUUUUCUAAUUG